UACGUAGGGGGCAAGCGUUGUCCGGAUUUAUUGGGCGUAAAGAGCGUGUAGGCGGCUUGGUAGGUCCGCUGUGAAAACUCGAGGCUCAACCUCGAGACGCCGGUGGAAACCAUCAGACUAGAGUCCGGAAGAGGAGAGUGGAAUUCCUGGUGUAGCGGUGAAAUGCGCAGAUAUCAGGAAGAACACCCGUGGCUAAGGCGGCUCUCUAGUACGGUACUGACGCUGAGACGCGAAAGCGUGGGGAGCGAACAGG
rnacentral:rRNA from 1 species